CUGACUUCGGCAACACAUAUACUAAAAUUGGAAUGAUACAGAGAAGAUUAGCAUGGCCCCUGUGCAAGGAUGACAAACAAAUUUAUGAAGCAUUCCAUAUUUUU
rnacentral:snRNA from 1 species